rnacentral:rRNA from 1 species
AGAGUUUGAUCCUGGCUCAGGACGAACGCUGGCGGUGUGCUUAACACAUGCAAGUCGAACGGUAAGGCCCUUUCGGGGGUACACGAGUGGCGAACGGGUGAGUAACACGUGAGUAACCUGCCCUCAUCUCUGGGAUAACAGUCGGAAACGGUUGCUAAUACUGGAUAUGAGCUUGCAAGGCAUCUUGUGGGUUGGAAAGAUAUUUUUUGGUUGGGGAUGGACUCGCGGCCUAUCAGCUUGUUGGUGAGGUAGUGGCUCACCAAGGCUUCGACGGGUAGCCGGCCUGAGAGGGCGACCGGCCACAUUGGGACUGAGAUACGGCCCAAACUCCUACGGGAGGCAGCAGUGGGGAAUAUUGCACAAUGGACGGAAGUCUGAUGCAGCAACGCCGCGUGCGGGAUGACGGCCUUCGGGUUGUAAACCGCUUUCAAUUGUGACGAAGCUUUUUGUGACGGUAGCAGUAGAAGAAGCACCGGCUAACUACGUGCCAGCAGCCGCGGUGAUACGUAGGGUGCGAGCGUUGUCCGGAUUUAUUGGGCGUAAAGAGCUUGUAGGCGGUUUGUCGCGUCGGGAGUGAAAACUUGGGGCUUAACUCUGAGCUUGCUUUCGAUACGGGCUGACUUGAGGGAGGUAGGGGAGAAUGGAAUUCCUGGUGGAGCGGUGGAAUGCGCAGAUAUCAGGAGGAACACCGGUGGCGAAGGCGGUUCUCUGGACCUUUCCUGACGCUGAGAAGCGAAAGCGUGGGGAGCGAACAGGCUUAGAUACCCUGGUAGUCCACGCCGUAAACGGUGGGUACUAGGUGUGGGGGACAUUCCACGUUCUCCGUGCCGUAGCUAACGCAUUAAGUACCCCGCCUGGGGAGUACGGCCGCAAGGCUAAAACUCAAAGGAAUUGACGGGGGCC